rnacentral:lncRNA from 1 species
AAUCAAACAAUAUUAAAAAUGAAUGACUUAGUAGACAAUACAACUCAUUUUAUUCCAACUAUGGAGGGAGAAGAUAAUAAUGGGGUUAACAAUAAACAUAACCAUAAACUUAGUAACAAACUUAAUAACAAAUUUAACGAUGAAAAUGAAGAUAACAAUCAAAUUUAUGAUAAAAGAGAUGAACAACUAGAGGAUCAAACAUAUAUAGACGAACACUCUAUCGCUUCUGACGACGUCUACACGAAUAUAAACGGAUACAACUUUAGGCUUCUUGAAGAUAAUGUCUUAUAUACAAAACCAAAGUCUCCCAUUAAUAAUAUGCUAUAUGAAUGGGAUGAUUCGUUGGAUUGUAAUUGGAGGAAGAGAGCUACUGAAGUAAUUCGUGACGUUAUAAUGUAUGAUUAUCCAUUUAAAGAAGUUAGAAGGCCAUCCAAUUUAGAUUUAUAUGAUAUCACAUGGUAUGCAGGUAAAAUAAAUAUUUUUGUUGUUCCGGAAAAACAGACAAACAGAGAUGGCAGUAGUAGCAGUAGCAACAAAAAUGUAACACUAUUCGAUUUAAAACAAUUAGUAAAAAAAAUAGCUGAACGGUUAAAACAAUUAGAAAUCGAUGAGGAAAUUUUGAUUUUACCAUUUUUCGAAUUAGUCGUUUCUUCUCUUCCCAGUAAAAAUAUUUUAAUUUGUCGUAAAGAUUGGAAUAAUAAUAUAGGAAAUGAAGUUAUUGUUUAUUUUAAAAAUAAUUUAUAUGAGCCGAUUAAAGGUGUUCUGUUGGGCUCACCAUCUGUUUUCCAUUUAAUAUUAAACAUAAAAAAUGAAAGAAUAGAAAAUAUAUUUAUUAAUUUAAUUGAUAAAGUUGUACUUAAAAAUACCAAAGAUGACUUACAAAAUAAUAUUCGUUUAAAUGCGGCUAUUAAACAAGGGGAUAGCGAUUCAUACAUAGUAAACGAUAUUCCAACUGCUACCGCAACAAGUACCGCAACAAGUACCGCAACAAGUACCGCAACAAGUGUUGCUACAAGUACUGCUACAAGUGUUGCUACAAAUGCGUUCGACGUAACACAACAAGAACAAACAAAGAAAAAUCAACAUGAAGAAAAAAAAAACAAACAAAUUUUAAAAGUAAAUGAAUUUGAUGAAUUAGAACAAUUAAAGAACAUAAAAAAAAAACCAAGUAAUAAUAAUUACAAACAAUUCAAUUUACUUAAAAAUAUUAACACAUUAGAUAAUUUUUAUGAUGACUAUAAUUUAAUAAAGCAGUCUGGAGACAUUGACGACGAUGAUAGUAAUGAUGAUGAUGACCAGGAGGACGCCGAAGAAUAUGAUGAAGUUGAAGAUCUUGACGACGUCCACGAAUUUGAUCAUACUGAUGAUAUUUCAAAUUAAAAUAAAACGUAAAAAAACAAAAAAAAAAAAAAAAAA